GCUACUUGCUCUUAAUUCACAGCACCAACCCCAUUUGGGAAGCAAUCUUCUUCUUGAUGGAUUGAGACGCAAGCUUGUUUCACACUACUUCCAAAUAAGUGUGUAGAGCCAUAUUUUUUUUAUUUUGCAUUCUGACAUAUUAUACAUUAUCAACCAGUUUUCUUCAAAAGAAAGACCUGAACCAGCAGUGUAAGAGGCUUCACAGGACAAAAGGGAUUUUAAUUUGAAGAAAGAGAGGAAGAGAGAAAAUGACAAAGGGAAGAGAACUAACGGGCGGGAAGGGUGAGAGACAAAAGGAAAAGAUAAGAGAGAAGCACAAAAGGUGGUGGCGUCUCACAGGUCAGAAGAAGCUGCGUGAUGGGAGCUGGUCUUGGACAAAGUGGCAGUGAUGAAGAUGGGAGAACAAAAAGAUGGAAAAGUUCCAGAUCAUUGAUGAUGUCAUUGAGCUAAUAAGUUAACCAUCCCUAGAGUCACUCUGCCUCAAAAUUUCUUGCUCUAUGAGAUAAUAAAAAAUCCUUGUUGCUUAGG
rnacentral:lncRNA from 1 species